CAGAGACUGUUAUACUGGGGAAGCCAUAGUUUAGGGUUUUGAGGGGAACUACUCACCCGGCUCACACUGUUUAGCUGCAACAUUUUCCCUCUUUCUUCCCUUUUCUUUGUUGAGCCAGAGACC